AUAUUCAGGAAAACAUCAAUUCACUAAAGUAUCAAAAUGCACUUUUUAUUUUUCAGCUUGGUGUGUAGUAGGAGAAAACAUUGCACUUUGAGAAAGAAACCCUGGAAUCAAGUCCUGGUCCUGCCACAUAUCAGCUGUGCAUCCUGCAGCAAGUCUCUUCCUCUCUUCAGCUGAUUGAAGAGGACAGAGUGACUACCAUCUGAAGCCCUACCCAGGGCAAGGCCAGAUCUCUACCCUGUUCUGAGGUUUUCACAUCUUUCCCAGGAAGGUCUGAGGACUGCCAGGCAGCCAGGUUCCAGGUUUCUCAGCCAAAUAAUGCCAUGGAGUGGUCGCAUCUGUCUCUGUCCAAUUGGACAGUGUGAUAGAGGUGGGUGACUCUACAGGGGCUCAUGAGACACACCUGGAGUAGCCCCUUCACACUCUCACUUCAGACAGUGGCCAGGCUCCCCAGACCCAUAGAGAAAGGAAGUCCUGACUUUACAGACAUCUCAACCCUGACCCAGAAGAUUAGAUGUGUGUGACCAUUUCCCAGCCUGACAUUCAAGAUAUAGUGUUACCUCUGAAGAUGAACAGUGCUUCUGUUUCCCAGCAGAUGUUACUGGAAAGAGAGAAAUGGCCUUCUGAUGGUCCUGUGUCACCUGAAAUGUCAGGUUUCCUACACAAAGAAAGUUCCAAUUCAACAUGCUUGAUACCAAGAGGGAAAGGAGAGAAAUACCACGUAGUCAAGGAUUUCAACAUCUGAUUGGUCACCCUAAAGAGCAUGUCCACCAAUCUGUACAGAUGGGCAAUGAGCUGGAUGCAGAGUUCAAAAGAAGAGUGAACCAUGUUGUUUUCAGGAAAUUGCAAAGCUCUUUUACUGACUCCAAGCUUUCUGUGAAAACAAGAUCCCACCGGAAGAUUCUCACACUGACUGAUGUGAGAUGCUGAACACCACUAUCUCUGAAGAGCAUCACAUCCAUCACAGAGAGAUCAUGGUCGCAACUGAAGCAACUGAAGCAGCAGAAAAACAAAGUGGGCUGAGGCAACAUUCCAUUCACAUAGUUCUGGACCCUUACAAAGAAGUAUAUGAGGUGCCUUCUUAUGUUCUCUCUUUGGGGUCGUGCCUGGUCAUUAUAGUCCCAUAGCAUUUAGUUUCAUCCUUGUUCUUUUCAUUGACAGUGCCAUAGUCACAUUUAUUGUUCUUAUUUCUGCUUACUUCCCUUUCCUUUAGUUUAUAUAUGUAUUCUAAUGCUUCUGUUAUAAACAUAUUCAUUGCUUCUUAGAGUCAAUCAAUAUUUUAUUACAUUCUUAUGCCACAGUUUAUUUGAUUAUUCCCUCAUUGACUGUUUCUAGAAUUGGAAAAUCUUUAGAACCAAAAGGAGAGAUUGUCCACUUCACCUCCUAUAUUUAAGAAAUAAUACAAAUACUUCCUGGCUCUAUAACCUUGGGCAAAUCACUUGAACCCCACUGUGGAGCCCUUAGAGCUCUUCUGCUUUGGAACCAAUACAUAAUAUCGAUUCUAAGAGACAAAAGUUAAGAGUUUUUUAAGAAAGAAAUAAGAAUAAGGGAGGGGUGGGGCAGCUGAAUGGCUCAAUGGGUUUAGAGCCAGGUCUAGAGAUGGGAGGUCCUGGGUUCAAAUCUAGUUUCAGAUACUUCCUGGCUGUGUGACCCUGGGCAAGUCACUUGACCAGAUUUGAACUAAGAAGAUAAGCCUUCCUGACUCCAGACUUGGUGUUCUAUCCACUGUUCCACCUGGCUGCUGUGAAAGGGAAUUCUUUAUUCUCUUCCUCUAUUUUAAGUUAACACUUACUUAACCCCUACUUUUGAUAACAUUUUGUUAUCAAGUAAGAGAAUUCACAAGUCAUUUACUUGGAGAGUUCCACCCUUUUAAU
rnacentral:lncRNA from 1 species